rnacentral:misc_RNA from 1 species
CCAAUAGCGUAUAUUAAAGUUGUUGCAGUUAAAAAGCUCGUAGUUGAAUUUCGGGAUCGAAUUGUUGGUCGUGCUUCGGUACGCACUGGCAUUAUCGGUUCCUACCUUCUGAAGAACCGCGAUGUCAUUAAUUUGGUGUCGUGGGGAAUCAGGACUGUUACUUUGAAAAAAUUAGAGUGUUUAAAGCAGGCUUAUGCUUGAAUACAUUAGCAUGGAAUAAUGAAAUAGGACGUUUGAUUCUAUUUUGUUGGUUUCUAGGAUCGACGUAAUGAUUAAUAGGGAUAGUUGGGGGCAUUAGUAUUCAAUUGUCAGAGGUGAAAUUCUUGGAUUUAUUGAAGACUAACUACUGCGAAAGCAUUUGCCAAGGAUGUUUUCAUUAAUCAAGAACGAAAGUUAGGGGAUCGAAGACGAUCAGAUACCGUCGUAGUCUUAACCAUAAACUAUGCCGACUAGGGAUCGGAUGAUGUUAAUUUUAUAAUGACUCAUUCGGCGCCUUACG